rnacentral:rRNA from 1 species
CCUACGGGGUGCAGCAGUGAGGAAUAUUGGUCAAUGGACGAGAGUCUGAACCAGCCAAGUAGCGUGAAGGAUGACUGCCCUAUGGGUUGUAAACUUCUUUUAUAUGGGAAUAAAAUGUUCCACGUGUGGGAUUUUGUAUGUACCAUAUGAAUAAGGAUCGGCUAACUCCGUGCCAGCAGCAGCGGUAAUACGGAGGAUCCGAGCGUUAUCCGGAUUUAUUGGGUUUAAAGGGAGCGUAGGUGGAUUGUUAAGUCAGUUGUGAAAGUUUGCGGCUCAACCGUAAAAUUGCAGUUGAAACUGGCAGUCUUGAGUACAGUAGAGGUGGGCGGAAUUCGUGGUGUAGCGGUGAAAUGCUUAGAUAUCACGAAGAACUCCGAUUGCGAAGGCAGUUCACUGGACUGCAACUGACACUGAGGCUCGAAAGUGUGGGUAUCAAACAGGAUUAGAUACCCGGGUAGUC